rnacentral:lncRNA from 1 species
AAUACUUCCAGUUCAAAGCACAUAUAACACUUUUGCUGCUAUAUGUGCUGUGAACGAUUUAUUUAUUUUCAGCAAAGCAGUGGAAUCUUGAUUUACCAUGAAUCUGUUUUGGUGCCAAGGCAACAAAUGGAUUGAUAACAAUAAGGUUGUCAAUAGGUUAGCCAAGAAACAAAUUUCUUCUCCUUCUGUUGAUCCUGAGCCUGUCCUGGGCAUCCCAUCUGAUGCAUUUGAGACUGUCAGGAACUGGAUUGGCUGCCAGACAUCUUUCACAGUGGAUUCCAGUCCUGGACUAAGGAAACAAAGUUUCUUAUUCUAAGUCCUUCUCUACAGGAAAUUAAGAAUUGUUUACAUUGAA